GGCUGCGUUCUGGAAGUAGGGCCCGAGGUCUGUCGGUGGGGUGGCUUCUGCAGCGUGUGGCCGUGUGACCCCACGGAGGUGACCUCCCAGAGCGGCUGAGGUUGAGAACCCAUUGAGCAGCUAGGCCCCAGUGUAUGCGCUGAUCCUAUGGCGGAGGCCCGUGGGAACCAAGGCGAGAGCUGUGUGAGCCUGGAGGACGUGUGCCUGCGUUUCACUGCAGAGGAGUGGGGUCUCCUCGAUGACACUCAGAAGCUCCUGUACCACAACGUGAUGCUGGAGAAUUUCUUGCUUGUGCUGUCCCUGGGACUUCCGAUUUCCAAAUCCUUCCCAGGAACUCGAGUUUAUCCAUCAUGGCCGUAUUUGCUCCAGAAAGAUAAACAUAUGACCUCGGGCCCAUCCAUCAAUAUUUAGAGAAGGAAUUGAGAAGACUUCAUAGAGGAAAUUAAAUUCUGCUGAGGAAGUGAAAGAUCUGUCUUCAUUUAUAUAAGGCGCCAGUAUUCUUCACAAGCUCUCCAGUAAAGCUCUGAUUUCCCAUUUAAAUGAGAAACCAUACAACUCUGUUUAGAAAUCUCUUCCCCUGAACAGUCUCCUAACUCUUUAGUGAGGGAGAAAGGUAGCAAUAAGGUCCAUUUAUAGAGCUCUCUGAUGGUCUGGCAUUACGGUAAACAAUGAGGUGCAUUAUUUUCUUCAUGUUUUCCCAGCAGCCUCCACAGUUAUUAGCUCUGUUUUAUAAGUCAAGAAAAUGAGACUCGGAAUGGUUCUGUGCCUUGUGGUCCUAUAACCAAAAUGCUGGGGAGCUACAGUUUGAACACAAUCUGAUUCUCAAACCUUAACUCUGAAAUGUUUCCCUAAUAAGGUGCAAUCUGUAUGCCGUCUGCUCCAUUGUCUGCACGUACAGGUCUGAGUUGUGGUUAGUGCUUAUUACUGUAGGGGAAUCACCACUACGAUCCACACGUGGGGAGGUUCCCGUGCUCAAAUGUCCUUUUGUGACCCUUUGUAUUCAGCCCCUGACAACUACUGCUUAGCUUUCUUGGCCCAAAUAUAACAUAAAGAUUAUAAAG